UACGUAGGGGGCAAGCGUUGUCCGGAUUUAUUGGGCGUAAAGAGCGUGUAGGCGGCUAGAUAAGUCCGCUGUGAAAUCUCGAGGCUCAACUUCGAGCUGUCGGUGGAAACUGUCUGGCUAGAGUCCGGAAGAGGAGAAUGGAAUUCCUGGUGUAGCGGUGAAAUGCGCAGAUAUCAGGAAGAACACCCGUGGCGAAGGCGGUUCUCUGGGACGGUACUGACGCUGAGACGCGAAAGCGUGGGGAGCGAACAGG
rnacentral:rRNA from 1 species